UGGUAUCCGGGGUGGUUGCUAAGGUGCUGCUAGGUGGUUGCAAGGUGGUUGCUAAGGUGUUGCUAGGCGGUUGCUAAGGUGUUGCUAUGGUGUCUGGGGUGGUUCCUAAGGUGUUGCUAGGUGGUUGCUAAGGUGUUGCUAUGGUAUCUGGGGUGGUUGCUAAGGUGUUGCUAGGUGGUUGCUAAGGUGUUGCUAGAUGGUUGCUAAGGUGUUGCUAUGGUAUCUGGGGUGGUUGCUAAGGUGUUGCUAGGCGGUUGCCAAGGUGUUGCUAUGGUAUCCGAGGUGGUUGCUAAAUGGUUACUAGGCAGUUGCUAACGUAUUCCACAUGGUUGCUAAGUGGUUGCUAGGCACUUGCUAAUGUUUUCCAGGUGGUUGCUAAGGUGUUGCUAACUGGUUGCUAGGCAGUUGCUAACGUAUUCCACAUGGUUGCUAAGUGGUUGCUAGGCAGUUGUGAUCAUUUCUAAAGUGGUUGCUAAGUGGUUUCUAGGCAGUUGCUAACAUUUUCCAGGUGGUUGCUAAGGUGUUGCUAACUGGUUGCUAGGCAGUUGCUAACAUAUUCCAGAUGGUUGCUGAGCGGUUGUGAUCAUUUCUAAAGUGGUUGCUAGGCAGUUGCUAAUGUUUACCAGGUGGUUGCUAAGGUGUUGAUAACUGGUUGCUAGGUUGUUGCUAUCAUUUCUAAAAUGGUUGAAGUAGAGAAAAAGAGAGAGUGUUAAAUGUAGAAGUACAGAAAAAGGGAGAGCAAGAAAUAAAGAAGUAGGGAGAAAAUCGCGAGAAAAAGAGAAAGAACACGCGAGAAUGUGAGAAAAAAAGUUGAGAGAAAUAUUGAGCGAGAAAAAGAGAAUUAGAGAAAAAGGGACAUCGAGAAAUAAAGAAGUAGAGAAAGAAAGAGGAAGUAGUAGAGAGAUAGAUAGAAAGAGAAAGCAAGA